ACCCAGACUCCUACGGGAGGCAGCAGUGGGGAAUAUUGCACAAUGGGGGCAACCCUGAUGCAGCGACGCCGCGUGAGCGAUGGAGUACUUCGGUAUGUAAAGCUCUGUCAGCAGGGAAGAGAAUGACGGUACCUGACCAAGAAGCCCCGGCUAACUACGUGCCAGCAGCCGCGGUAAUACGUAGGGGGCAAGCGUUAUCCGGAUUUACUGGGUGUAAAGGGAGCGUAGACGGCAGUGCAAGUCCGGAGUGAAAGCCCGGGGCUCAACCCUGGGACUGCUCUGGAAACUGUAAAGCUGGAGUGCGGGAGGGGCAGGCGGAAUUCCUGGUGUAGCGGUGAAAUGCGUAGAUAUCAGGAGGAACACCGGCGGCGAAGGCGGCCUGCUGGACCGUAACUGACGUUGAGGCUCGAAAGCGUGGGGAGCAAACAGGAUUAGAUACCCCUGUAU
rnacentral:rRNA from 1 species